GUGCUUGAUUCAGCAGCACAUACACUAAAAUUGGAAUGAUACAUAGAAGAUUAGCAUGGCCCCUGCACAAGGAUGACACACAAAUUUGUGAAGUGUUCCAUUUUUUU
rnacentral:snRNA from 1 species